AAAAUUAGUAAGCUUAAAAACAGGCUUGGUAAACAGAUACCCCUGGGGAGCCUAUUCAAGAGGGACCAUGUCAGACAGGAGACUGGGAAGGAGAAAGGCAAAUCUGGAACUGCCAACAUAAGCUCAUGUUAUAGGUUCCACACACAGCCCUCCAAGGCGAAAAAUCUCACCCUGAAAGUAACGGGCCAGCCAACCAGAGCUCUCCUCCCCACCUGCUAUCUCCCACCCUUACCCCCUCAUCCUCUGUUUCUCUUCAGAAAAGAGUUGGCCUCAAUGGUGUCAGACCCCUGGAACUGGAGUUACAGACAAUUAUGAGCUGCUGGGAAUUGAACGUGAGUAUGACAGGAUUUUCUCUGUCCAAUCAAACUAAAAUAUAUUAGGGUAACAGGAAGCCUGUGAUUGGACAGGGAAAAGGGAGGUGGAGCUAAGAGUUGGAGAGACAGUGUGUGUCUCAGGGACAGGAAGAAGGCCAAGAUGGAAACAGACAAACAGGAAGAAGAACCUGAAGCAGCGUGGCUUGAGAUAGCCACAGGUAGUUAUGAUACCAUAAGGUUAGAAUAAUUGGGAUAAUUUGUCUAAUCUAGGUGGGCAGCUUUUAUCAUUAUCAAUUGGUUCUGAAAUGAUUGUAC
rnacentral:lncRNA from 1 species